rnacentral:rRNA from 2 species
UGGCGGACGGGUGAGUAAUGUCUGGGAAACUGCCCGAUGGAGGGGGAUAACUACUGGAAACGGUAGCUAAUACCGCAUAACGUCGCAAGACCAAAGAGGGGACCUUCGGGCCUCUUGCCAUCGGAUGUGCCCAGAUGGGAUUAGCUAGUAGGUGGGGUAACGGCUCACCUAGGCGACGAUCCCUAGCUGGUCUGAGAGGAUGACCAGCCACACUGGAACUGAGACACGGUCCAG